rnacentral:rRNA from 1 species
AGAGUUUGAUCAUGGCUCAGAACGAACGUUGGCGGCGUGGAUUAGGCAUGCAAGUCGAACGCGAAAGAGGUAGCAAUACCUUGAGUAAAGUGGCGAACGGGUGAGUAACGCGUAGGAAACCUGCCUUCGAGUGGGGGAUAACAUUCCUAACGGGAUGCUAAUACCGCAUGUGACUACGGAGUCGCAUGGCUCUGUAGUGAAAGGUGGCCUCUGUUUACAAGCUACCGCUCAAAGAUGGUCCUGCGUCCCAUUAGCUAGUUGGUGGGGUAACGGCCUACCAAGGCGACGAUGGGUAGCCGAUCUGAGAGGAUGACCGGCCACACUGGGACUGAGAUACGGCCCAGACUCCUACGGGAGGCAGCAGUCGAGAGGCUUCGGCAAUGGGGGAAACCCUGACCGAGCGACGCCGCGUGGAGGAUGAAGGCCUUUGGGUUGUAAACUCCUGUCAUGAGGGAAGAAACGUCACCGUUCGAAUAGGGCGGUGACUUGACGGUACCUCAAGAGGAAGCUCCGGCUAACUCCGUGCCAGCCGCCGCGGUAAUAC